UCCUGACACAGGGAGGUAGUGACAAGAAAUAACAAUACAGGGCCUUUUUGGUCUUGUAAUUGGAAUGAGUACAAUUUACAUCUCUUCACGAGGAUCAAUUGGAGGGCAAGUCUGGUGCCAGCAGCCGCGGUAAUUCCAGCUCCAAUAGCGUAUAUUAAAGUUGUUGCAGUUAAAACGCUCGUAGUCGGAUUUCGGGGCGGGCGGGCCGGUCUGCCGAUGGGUAUGCACUGGUUUGCGCGUCCUUCCUUCCGGAGACCAUGCCUACUCUUCACUGAGCGGGUAUGGGAAACGGAAUUUUUACUUUGAAAAAAUCAGAGUGUUUCAAGCAGGCAUUUCGCUUUUGCAUGGAUUAGCAUGGGAUAAUAAAAUAGGACUUUGGUGCUAUUUUGUUGGUUUCGAACACCGAAGUAAUGAUUAACAGGGACA
rnacentral:rRNA from 1 species